rnacentral:rRNA from 1 species
GACGUAGGGGGCGAGCGUUGUCCGGAUUUAUUGGGCGUAAAGCGUGCGUAGGCGGCUGCGCAAGUCGGGUGUGAAACCCCGGGGCUCAACCCCGGAACUGCCUUUAAGACUGCAUCGCUUGAAUCCGGGAGAGGUGAGUGGAAUUCCGAGUGUAGAGGUGAAAUUCGUAGAUAUUCGGAAGAACACCAGUGGCGAAGGCGGCUCACUGGACCGGUAUUGACGCUGAUGUGCGAAAGCGUGGGGAGCAAACAGG